ensembl:snRNA LOC120094560 U6 spliceosomal RNA
GUGCUCGCUUUGGCAGCACAUAUAUUAAAAAUGGAACGAUACAGAGAAGAUUAGCAAGGUUCCUGCACAAGGAUGACACACAAAUUUGUAAAUUGGUCCAUAUUUAA